rnacentral:rRNA from 1 species
GGCUUACCAUGCAAGUCGAGGGGUAACAGAUCUUCGGAUGCUGACGACCGGCGAACGGGUGAGUAACACGUAUGCAACUUACCCAUAACUCGGGAAUAGCCCAAAGAAAUUUGGAUUAAUACCCAAUAAUACAGGCGUACCGCAUGGUAUUCUUCGUUAAAGAAUAAUCGGUUAUGGAUAGGCAUGCGUUCUAUUAGGUAGUUGGUGAGGUAACGGCUCACCAAGCCGACGAUGGAUAGGGGAACUGAGAGGUUGUCCCCCCACACUGGUACUGAGACACGGACCAGACUCCUACGGGAGGCAGCAGUGAGGAAUAUUGGUCAAUGGACGAAAGUCUGAACCAGCCAAAUCGCGUGAAGGAAGAAGGUAUUAUGUAUCGUAAACUUCUUUUGUAAGAGAGUAAAGUGCACUACGUGUAGUGUAUUGCAAGUACCUUACGAAUAAGCAUCGGCUAAUUCCGUGCCAGCAGCCGCGGUAAUACGGAAGAUGCAAGUGUUAUCCGGAUUUAUUGGGUUUAAAGGGUGCGUAGGUGGUCUAAUAAGUCAGUGGUGAAAUCUCUUUGCUUAACAAGGAAAUUGCCAUUGAAACUGUUAGACUUGAGAAUGGACGAGGUAGGCGGAAUUCGUAGUGUAGCGGUGAAAUGCAUAGAUAUUACGAAGAACUCCAAUAGUGUAGACUGCUUACCAGACCAUAUCUGACACUAAGGCACGAAAGUGUGGGUAUCAAACAGGAUUAGAUACCCUGGUAGUCCACACAGUAAACGAUGAAUACUAACUGUUUGCGAUAUACAGCAAGUGGUCGAGCGAAAGCGUUAAGUAUUCCACCUGGGAAGUAUGCCGGCAACGGUGAAACUCAAAGGAAUUGACGGGGGCCCGCACAAGCGGAGGAACAUGUGUUAUUC